rnacentral:rRNA from 1 species
AAUCAACGCUGGCGGCGUGCCUAACACAUGCAAGUCGAGCGGUAAGGCCCUUUCGGGGGUACACGAGCGGCGAACGGGUGAGUAACACGUGGGUGACCUGCCCUCAGCUCUGGGAUAAGCCUGGGAAACCGGGUCUAAUACCGGAUAUGACUCCAUGACGCAUGUUGUGGGGUGGAAAGCCUUGUGCGGCUGGGGAUGGGCCCGCGGCCUAUCAGCUUGUUGGUGGGGUGAUGGCCUACCAAGGCGA